GCCCAAGGCCGGGAGAGCAGGAGGGAGAGAGAAUUAAAGCGUUCAAUUAAAGAGCGGCCGAGGCCGGAGGGCUCCCUGCAAUGCCAAAAGAAUCAUUUCGGGAAGCCGGGCAGGAGACACAACCCGAACAAAAAACUCCAGGCGAGUUUCUGACCCAUUCCUCUGGAGGAAAAGCUGGGGAGGAGCUGGGCAGGGAAAAAACCACGGGAGAGCCACGGGAAAAACAUCCAGGCCCGGGAGAAUCAUCCCGGCCCGGGAGAAUCAUCCCGGCCCGGGAGAAUCAUCCCGGCCCAGGAGAAUCAUCCCGGCCCGGGAGAAUCAUCCAGACCCGGGAGAAUCAUCCCGGCCCGGGUCCUUCCUGCCCGGGAGCCGCAAACGCGAGGGGACGGUGGCCUCUGGUGGAUGGGAGCCGCUCUGCAGCGCCUGGAAAGCGCCCCCAGCUCCAGUCACAGCCUUAAAAAUGGUUUAAAUAAACCCCGGUGAACGGUUUAAAAUGAGUGUUCUUCUGAAGAGAAAACAGGGUCUUCGAAUAAUUGUUUGGUUGCAAAAAAAAGGGAAA